rnacentral:rRNA from 1 species
AUGGCGGCGCCGUCGUCUCGCUCCGAAUCGAUCCGAACCCCGAGCAGGAUUUUGUGCGAUUUCGCCGGAGCGGCUCGCACCUGGCUCAGUGGAUGUUACCGGACGAUCAAGAGAAUAGGAGAGCGGCCGCGCGGCGUGGAUUGGGGAAACUUUUUUGGCUCUGAAUACCAGAUUGUCACGCCCCGAUCUAGAUGGGAUUUGGGGAGAGAUGAGAAGGGGAUCGGGGUGAGGAAGGAGGAGAAGGUUAGGGCACGGCUGGGAGAUGAACAUGGAUCUGCUUCUGUGUAUCGUGUCAGCGCAUUGGAGAAGGCGAUUGCAGGGUUCCAGAAGAGGGAAACUGAGGCCGUGGUCAAUCCAACCGUGGGGACUGUCUUUGUUUCUCUUGAUGAGGCCUAUGAAUUCUACAACAUUUAUUCCUGGGAAUCUGGAUUCGGAGUCAGCUAUGGACCGAGUAGUGUGGAUUCUCAUGGAACUAAAUGCAUACAGCAAUUUGUUUGCGCGUGUGAGGGGAAACCAAGCAAGGACAGCAACUCAUUUCGUCGCGGUGAAUGCACGGCAUCGAUUCUUUUGCUGAGAUCCAGAGACGGCGGAUGGUGUGUGUGCGAACAUCAAGUGGGGCAUAACCAUCCACUUUCCAAGAUGUGUGCGCAGAGGUCAUCCUGGCAGUCUCACAGUAGUAUCGACAAGAACACAAGGGACUUGAUUCGCCAACUAAGGGAAAACAAUGUGCCACACAUUGCCGAUAGUGAAGCAAAGGAUCUGCUGUCUGAGGAUCUCAGAAAGACCGUGGAAACCUUUGCUAGGAUCAAAGCAAAGGAUCCAACAUUUGAAUAUUCUGGCUUGCAGGUUGAUAGUAACUGUAGAGUAAGGCCACUACUCUGGACCAGUGGCCAGAGCGUUCAGUACCAAUACUUUGGUGAUGUGAUUAUCUUCGACACCACCUACAGAUCGGACGUGAAACACCCCCGAACUACACUGACCAAUCGCUGCGAGGCAAUUGAGGAGGCCGUAUUGGAGGAUGAGAUUGUUCUGAGAACAAAUCUACCAAUCGAGAAGCACGCCAGCGAGGUGUACACUAGAGCGGUGUUCGAACUGUUUGUGCAAGCCAUAAACGAAUCUGAAUCUUACAUGGUGGAGGCAGUCAUCCCCAACCUGAAGUACACAACACGGCGUCCCAGCAGUGAAACCAGGGAGAAGUGGUCUAGGGUGGAAUAUGAGGUCAAUGUUAGAGAAGACGGUGAAGCGUUCAUGUGCGUGUGCAAGCAAUUUGAGCACACGGGGAUGCUCUGCUGCCAUGCCAUUAAGGUGAUGAUCCACCUGGGGGUGCGUGAGAUACCAAGGCAACACGUCAUGCCACGCUGGACAGCCAAGCCGCUGCAAUGUCAGAUGCACUGCCGCGGCCUAGCGCGGCGCGCCUGUGAGGAUGAACGGUACUACAAGGUCGUCAUGAGGGGCCUUGACGGACUGGGUCAAGAAUUGGCCGCAGCAACAGCCGCGCCCUGCCGCCGCGUCAAGCCGGCCUCACGGAAGUCGAGGAGGAAGUGUUGUUGA